rnacentral:rRNA from 1 species
CCUACGGGAGGCAGCAGUGGGGAAUAUUGCACAAUGGGGGAAACCCUGAUGCAGCGACGCCGCGUGCGUGAAGAAGUAAUUCGUUAUGUAAAGCUCUAUCAGCAGGGAAGAAAAUGACGGUAACUGAGUAAGAAGCCCCGGCUAAAGACGUGCCAGCAGCCGCGGUAAUACGUAGGGGGCAAGCGUUAUCCGGAUUUACUGGGUGGAAAGGGAGCGUAGACGGCAGUGCAAGUCUGGAGUGAAAGGCGGGGGCUCAACCCCCGGACUGCUCUGGAAACUGUACGGCUGGAGUGCAGGAGAGGUAAGUGGAAUUCCUGGUGUAGCGGUGAAAUGCGUAGAUAUUAGGAGGAACACCAGUGGCGAAGGCGGCUUACUGGACUGUAACUGACGUUGAGGCGCGAAAGCGUGGGGAGCAAACAGGAUUAGAUACCCUUGUAGUC